rnacentral:rRNA from 1 species
AUUGAACGCUGGCGGCAGGCCUAACACAUGCAAGUCGAACGGUAGCACAGAGAGCUUGCUCUCGGGUGGCGAGUGGCGGACGGGUGAGUAAUGUCUGGGAAACUGCCUGAUGGAGGGGGAUAACUACUGGAAACGGUAGCUAAUACCGCAUAACGUCGCAAGACCAAAGAGGGGGACCUUCGGGCCUCUUGCCAUCAGAUGUGCCCAGAUAGGAUUAG